rnacentral:rRNA from 1 species
ACGUUGAAGACGACGACGUUAAUAGGCCGGGUGUGUAAGCGCAGCGAUGCGUUGAGCUAACCGGUACUAAUGAACCGUGAGGCUUAACCUU